UACGGAGGGUGCAAGCGUUAUCCGGAUUCACUGGGUUUAAAGGGUGCGUAGGCGGAUAGGUAAGUCCGUGGUGAAAUCCUGCAGCUUAACUGCAGAACUGCCAUGGAUACUAUCUAUCUUGAAUGUCGUGGAGGUUAGCGGAAUAUGUCAUGUAGCGGUGAAAUGCUUAGAGAUGACAUAGAACACCCAUUGCGAAGGCAGCUAACUACGCGAUAAUUGACGCUGAUGCACGAAAGCGUGGGGAGCAAACAGG
rnacentral:rRNA from 1 species